rnacentral:rRNA from 1 species
AGUGAAUGCUGGCGGUAGGCCUAACACAUGCAAGUCGAACGGCAGCACAGUAAGAGCUUGCUCUUACGGGUGGCGAGUGGCGGACGGGUGAGGAAUACAUCGGAAUCUACUUUUUCGUGGGGGAUAACGUAGGGAAACUUACGCUAAUACCGCAUACGACCUACGGGUGAAAGCAGGGGAUCUUCGGACCUUGCGCGAUUGAAUGAGCCGAUGUCGGAUUAGCUAGUUGGCGGGGUAAAGGCCCACCAAGGCGACGAUCCGUAGCUGGUCUGAGAGGAUGAUCAGCCACACUGGAACUGAGACACGGUCCAGACUCCUACGGGAGGCAGCAGUGGGGAAUAUUGGACAGUGGGCGCAAGCCUGAUCCAGCCAUACCGCGUGGGUGAAGAAGGCCUUCGGGUUGUAAAGCCCUUUUGUUGGGAAAGAAAAGCAGCAGGUUAAUACCCCGCUGUUCUGACGGUACCCAAAGAAUAAGCACCGGCUAACUUCGU